UACAGAGGGUGCGAGCGUUGUCCGGAAUUACUGGGCGUAAAGGGUUUGUAGGUGGUCUGCUAAGUCAGACGUGAAAUCCCUCAGCUUAACUGGGGAACUGCGUCUGAUACUGGCGGACUUGAGGACAGGAGAGGAACGCGGAAUUCCAGGUGUAGCGGUGAAAUGCGUAGAUAUCUGGAGGAACACCGGUGGCGAAGGCGGCGUUCUGGACUGUUUCUGACACUGAAAAACGAAAGCCAGGGGAGCAAACGGG
rnacentral:rRNA from 1 species